UUUGCAAAAAUAAAAUGAUCCAACAUUGCUCUCCUCUCCGUCUGCAUCCUACCCUCCCAAAAAACAAAUGUAACCGUCGUCCUCUGCUUUUUCUCUUUCCGCCUUUCUGCGCCUCAUCUUCCCUCCAUUUAGUGCCUUCCUAUCAUACUCUUUUGGGCUGAUCGAACUGCCAAGAUAGGCCAGCCCUCUUACUACAUAAUCGGCGCUGCAACUUUUGCCCGCUCGAACAAUUGGCGAUGCUUCUGCUUUCGUCGUACACUUUUGUGCAAACUUUCCGUGCGUUUGGAUAGGAGGGAAAGAGAGGAAAAUGGAGAGGAGAGGAGGGAAGGUUGUGUAGAAGUGAAUCACCCAUUAAUGGACGCUCCGCCAGCAACGAUCGCAAAUCUCCACCCGUUAAGCUCCACUCACCCACCUUUCUGCUUUGUGACACCUUCCCGCCUUCACUGACAACCAUUCUUCGAAAGUAUAGCCACUGAAGGUCAUACAAAAUCCACAAAAAGACCUCCAUUCGGUGCCCAAAUCUAUGUUCUGGAGCUGCUCUGCUUGCCCGCCAAACCUAGAGGACAUAUUCCAAGCUAUUGGCGCAGUACGGAUUAAAACCCCAAAUUCACCAGGGAAUCUCGUCCGUAGCUUUGAAGUCCUUCAACCCACCUUGAUAUUGGGAGACGCAAAAAGUGUGCGGAUGCUCUUGCCUGAUUGGGAGGACCGCAAUAAGAUUAUCAUAGAAUUUUAGAUUUCGCAGCUUCUUUUAUUGCCCCCAGUGUUGUUGGUGAUAUUUUGGAUCGAUAGACCCGCGUCUUGUAGCUGACCUUGUCAGCAUACCAAUGUAGUGAUCGUUUGGGAGGGCACUGCGUUUACGGAAAAAUGCUUUUAUACUAUUGUUGUUUGGGAAUGCGGUCAGCAUUGCUUUUCCAGGAUGCACGAGGAUGAUUUUCCAGUUUGCGUCGGCCACCGUAACUUUCCGGUUGAUGACUUUCCGGUUUUACCCAUUUGAUUUAUAAAUUUAA